GACGAACGCUGGCGGCGUGCCUAAUACAUGCAAGUUGAGCGAUGAAGCUUGGUGCUUGCCCCCAUUUGAAGAGCAGCGAACGGGUGAGUAACGCGUGGGGAAUCUGCCUUUGAGCGGGGGACAACAUUUGGGAACGAAUGCUAAUACCGCCUAACAACUUUAACCAUAAGUUUUAAGUUUGAAAGAUGCAAUUGCCUCACUCAAAGGUGAUCCCGCGUUGUAUUAGCUAGUUGGUUAGGUAAAGGCUCAACAAGGCGAUGAUACAUAGCCGACCUGGGAGGGAGGACGGCCACAGUGGGACUGGGACAAGGCCCAAACUCCUACGGGAGGCAACAGUAGGGGAUCUUUGGCAAUGGACGAAAGUCUGACCGAGCAAAGCCGCGUGAGUGAAGGAGGUUUUCGGAUCGUAAAACUCUGUUGGUAGAGAAGAACGAUGGUGAGAGUGGAAAGCUCAUCAAGUGACGGUAACUAACCAGAAAGGGACGGCUAACUACGUG
rnacentral:rRNA from 1 species